GAGCGAUGAGAGGAUGAAACCCUCCACGCGCGCGGGGAGAGUCAGCGGGGCACCGUGCAUCAAAAUACUAGUGCAGGUUGAAAGGAAAGGCGGCAAAAUAAGAUUUCUCUCUUCCUCUCACUUGGUCCUGGAGCUCUCUGCGGACAUCGUUCCAUGACUCCUUGAUGCCGUGCAGGCAUCCCCCAGGGAGGAGCAGGGAUGAGGUGGGGGUAACUGAGAAAGAGGUGGAGGUGGGGAUCUUAAGACAGACAGACCCAGGCACACUGACGCGUCGUGCUCUCAUUAGGGCAUUCCUCUCAGACGUUUGUCGGCUGAAGGAUGCCGGUGAGUCCGUCCAUCUCCCUCACAUGGUCGUUCUGGGGCCUGCGCAGCGCAUGCCUUGUUAAUCUUUUGACGGUCGAGCGCCUAUACGAAUGACGUCACAGCUUGCGAUGAACACGGGACACACGCGCCGCCGUAAGAGAUGCAUCUCAGACCCCGCCCUCUGAAAGCCUUGGCGUGGACGCGAGACGCCAGAGAGCCGGCAGACUAUUGCCGCCCCGCUCCCUUUGCAUGCUGAUCCGAUCCGUGGACCCGCUGAAUUAUUUAAUAACAGCAUCACCUCAGACAGACUGUCGUCACGCUGGAGUGCCAGUGUCAACACACUGAGUUCGGAGGUCACAGGUGUAAUGUUAUUUCUAAAGUCUGCAGCCCCCCCCUCCCAC